ACGUGGUGGUGGAGGUCUAUCUGCAACGCCACAGUAUUCGCAGCACACUCGUAACCAGGGCUGCUUGGCCCAUCGCGGGCGGCCCCUUUAACUGUGAGCCACAUUG
rnacentral:snoRNA from 1 species